rnacentral:lncRNA from 1 species
AUUUUACUCAGACACCUGUUCGGAGUCCUGCAUCAGAUUGAGAAGAAUUCAGGGGAGAAUCAGAUGAAUGCAUUUAACCUGGCUCUUUGCAUAGCUCCCAACAUGCUAUGGCUUCCUAGCCCCACUGGGCCUGAAGAGGAAAGCAGGUCUACAAAAAAGGUGGCCAUGUUAGUGCAGUUCCUGAUUGAAAACUCGGCAGAAAUUUUUGGAAGUGACAUCACUUCGCUGUUUCAAAGACCAGACAAAGGAAAGUCAAAAAGCUCUGAGGAUUUCCUGGGUAUUGGCAUGGCUCAGCACACUGAUUCCUCUGAUGAGAUGGAGUUUGCUGCCUGUGACCAGGAAAGACCAAAGUAUCAUCGCGUGCCUGAAGCCGUCUCCAUGUUUGACCCAUCCACUGGUUUGUUACUUGAAGAGGAGCAGGAAGACUGGG